UGACGUCACUGGUUAGCGGGUCGUCUGUUGAUCCUGAUCAGGGUCCGCGUGAGCUGAACCCGAUUUCAGUACUGUACCGGGUCCAGGGAAGACCUCUAAACCGCCGACUGAACCGAAAAAACGGAAAAUGAAACUUUAACGGAGAUUUUUCACGUUUGUUUUCUGCGGCUUUUAUUUUGUGGGCGGAGAGGAUCAGCAGGAAGCGACUUCACAUAACGGGUUUCUUUCCAACAUGGAGACGACAGCAGAUCUCAGUCAGCAGUGCAGCAGCUGCGACGCCUCCUCCGCCAGAUGUUGGUGCGUGGACUGUAACGAAGCUCUGUGUGACGUCUGCGUGUCGGCUCAUCGCAGAGUCACGGUCACCAGG